UACGGAGGGUGCAAGCGUUAUCCGGAUUCACUGGGUUUAAAGGGUGCGUAGGUGGGAAUGUAAGUCAGUGGUGAAAUCUCCGUGCUUAACAUGGAAACUGCCAUUGAUACUAUGUUUCUUGAAUUUUCUGGAGGUAAGCGGAAUAUGUCAUGUAGCGGUGAAAUGCUUAGAUAUGACAUAGAACACCAAUAGCGAAGGCAGCUUACUGGGCUGUAACUGACGCUGAUGCACGAAAGUGUGGGGAUCAAACAGG
rnacentral:rRNA from 1 species